rnacentral:lncRNA from 1 species
UUGGUCUCUCGCCUGGCCAGUGUGGGUCGUCUGUUACCCACGUCCCUCGCUAGCAUAUGGAGAUUUCCUUUCAUCUUGUAAUCACAGCCCCUUUUUCUCAUGAACACCAGCAACAAUCUUUUCUCCGGUGACGCCCAGGUCAGCACCGAGCCCCCAGCAAUCAAUAUUUUCUCCGGCGACGCCCAGGUCAGCACCGAGCCCCCAGCAAUCAAUCUUUUCUCCGGCAACGCCCAGGUCAGCACCGAGCCCCCAGCAAUCGCCUGCACCAUCCUACGUGAAUGAUUAAAUCAGCUAUGUACUAUUUUGUAUGCAAACCACACCAUCCAGGUAGGUGAACUUGAAUCAAUUAAAUAAGGAACAUAAGU